rnacentral:lncRNA from 1 species
AAAGUCCCCUCCCCGGAGCGGAGCGCACCUAGGGUCCCUCUUCCGUCCCCCCAGCCCAGCUACCCGUUCAGACCAGCAGCCUCGGGGGGCACCCCCCCGCCAGCCUGCCUCCCUCCCGCUCAGCCCUGCCAGGGUUCCCCAGCCAUGAAUCUCUUCCGAUUCCUGGGAGACCUCUCCCACCUCCUCGCCAUCAUCUUGCUACUGCUCAAAAUCUGGAAGUCCCGCUCGUGCGCCGGAAUUUCAGGGAAGAGCCAGGUCCUGUUUGCUGUGGUGUUCACUGCCCGAUAUCUGGACCUCUUCACCAACUACAUCUCACUCUACAACACGUGUAUGAAGGUAGAGGCUCCACCCCACCUCUCUGGCCCCCACUGAGGCAGAGGAGCCGGGUGUGGGUCCCAGACUCCUAGGUCUGAGGGAGGAGGGGCUGGGGGCCUGGACUCCUGGGUCUGAGGGAGGAGGGGCCGGGGGCCUGGACUCUUGGGUCUGAGGGAAGAAGGGACUGAGGCCUGGACUCCUGGGUCUGAGGGAGGAGGGGUUGGGGGUCUGGACUCCUGGGUCUGA